GCCGGGGUGGCCGAGCGGUCUAAGGCGGCACUAUCCCAUCGAUAGCGCUAGGGGCCGCAGUGGGGUUCCUGCUGGGAACCCGUUAUUUCGCGGGUUCGAAUCCCGCCCCCGGCU
rnacentral:tRNA from 1 species